rnacentral:rRNA from 1 species
GAUGAACGCUGGCGGCGUGCUUAAUACAUGCAAGUCGAGCGAACGGACGAGGAGCUUGCUUCUUUCAUGUUAGCGGCGGACGGGUGAGUCACACGUGGAUACCCUACCUAUAAGACUGGGAUAACUUCGGGAAACCGGAGCUAACACCGGAUGAGAUUUUGAACCGCAUGGUUCAUAGGUGAAAGACGGUCUUGCUGUCACUUAUAGAUGGUUCCGGGCUGCUUUGGCUAGUUGGUAGGGUAACGGCUUACCAGGGCAACAAUGCAUGGCCGACCUGAGGGGGGGAUCGCCCACUCGGGAGCUGAGCCACGGCCCAGACUCCUAGGGAAGGCAGCGGUGGGGAAUCUGCCGCAAGGGGCGAAAGCCUGACGAAGCAACGCCGCGUGAGUGAUGAAGGUCUUCGGUUCGUAAGACGCUGUUAUUGGGGAAAAACGUAUGUGUAUGUAACUGUGCGCAUCUGACCGUUACGUAAGCAGAAGGCCCCGCCAACCUCCUG